GACGAACGCUGGCGGCGUGCUUAACACAUGCAAGUCGAACGGUAAGGCCCUUCGGGGUACACGAGUGGCGAACGGGUGAGUAACACGUGGGUGAUCUGCCCUGCACUUCGGGAUAAGCCUGGGAAACUGGGUCUAAUACCGGAUAGGACCACUGCCUGCAUGGGUGGUGGUGGAAAGCUUUUGCGGUGUGGGAUGGGCCCGCGGCCUAUCAGCUUGUUGGUGGGGUGAUGGCCUACCAAGGCGACGACGGGUAGCCGGCCUGGGAGGGUGACCGGCCACACUGGGAAUGAGAUACGGCCCAGACUCCUACGGGAGGCAGCAGUGGGGAAUAUUGCACAAUGGGCGCAAGCCUGAUUCGGCGACGCCGCGUGAGGGAUGACGGCCUUCGGGUUGUAAACCUCUUUCAGCACCGACGAAGCGCAAGUGACGGUAGGUGCAGAAGAAGGACCGGCCAACUACGUGCCAGCAGCCGCCGUAA
rnacentral:rRNA from 1 species